ensembl:piRNA 21ur-8692 ncRNA
UAGUCUAACUUUGCAAAGAUU